UUAUUUUUAUAACGUAACAAUAAAUUUAAAACUAUUUAAUAACAUUACUUUGAAGAAUUGAUAUCUGGCUUUCUUCAUUUGAUGGAUAUUUGUUAUAAAUAAGAAAGAAAAUGAAUGUGGGUAUUUUUAUUUAAUCAUUAAAUAGGUAUACAAACAUCAGAAAUGACACUUGCUAAAAAACAAAAAAAUAAAUAAAUAAAUGUUGACAAUGACGUACAGACACAUGACGUCACGAUGAUAUAUUUAGACCAAUGAAUGGAUCCGGUUUUCUCGAUAUGAAUCUCUGAAGCAAACUAUUGAAAGACUUUUCCGUAUGUUCGUCUUAUUUUAUUUUUAAAAUUGAAUCUUAGUUUAUACAACUAAAUAUCAAAAUAGAUAUAUAAAAUAAUUACUUAGCACUCUUAUAUACACUUAUAUACAGUUGAUUGAAGCAUCUAUGACUCAUCAUUUUAAUUCCUAUGUAUGUUUUUUUCCCCUCUCCUAUUUACUCACGCGUGACACGUUGACCGAUCGAUAGUAUAUAUCUGUUACUCUUUACGCUAUUAUAACUUAAUCCUAUCAGGAAAGAAAAGUUUCGCUCUAUAUGUAGACACGUAAAAAAAAAUGUAUAAAAUCUUGUAUUUUUAUAAUUUUUUAUUAAUUUUAUCGAAUUGAAAUUAAUCGUAAGAGGGUGAAAUUUCUCAAACCAACUAGUGGCUAUUACUUGAACCAAAAAUAAUAAAAAUUCAAGUCAAGAAAUUCAAGCUCUUGGUUUCCGUUCAUAGCAGCAUGCGGAUAACAGUGGCACUCGGGUAUAUGCUGCUUCUCUACUUCGGAUACCACUUUGUGUAUACACGUAGACGCCCGAAAAUCCUAAAAAUAUGAAACGAGUCAACUAACUGCUGGCGCUGUAUUUAUAUACUUCACACCGAUAUUCUAAUAGUAUUAGUUUAUUAAGUGAACAAUUAAUUUAUUCAUAUAAAAAUAUUGUUUUGAAUUGAAGUGUUCAGUAAAAAUGUGAAUUAUUGUAGUUAUUAGUCAUAAUAUUUGGUGUUUUUCUCCUGAUUCAAGUUAAGUUCAAUGAUGUGGUUUCAAUCGCAAAAAAUAUGGUAUCGUGCAGUUAAUGGUGUCAAUGAAGCCAGGAUAAAUGGCAAAACCUUCCAUUUCUUUUUGUAAACAAAAAAAAUUUUUAAUUGUAAUGAAAGAUCACAAUAUAUUUUUAUGAUUAAUUGUAUGUAUCCUGAGAAUUGAAUUUUUAAUAAAAGAAAUUAAUUUAAAAUUGAACUGAUUUCAUAUAUUUUAAAUAAAAGUAUUUUUUAAUUUACAUUAAUGUGAUUUAACUUUAAAAUGAAUUUUUUAAUUUUUUUAAUCAAAAAUUGAUAGUUUAAAAACUCGAUGUAUUGAAAUGAAUCGAUAUCGACUACAUUCGAGAGAACGAUGUUUUUAGAAGGAGUUAGUAUCUUCCGAAACCAAGAGCUUGAUUUUCUUGAGCCAACUAAGUUGUUUUCUUAUUCGAAGAAACAAAAAACAUUUAAAGCAAAAAUUUAUAUUUUUAAAUCAAGAUUGAAUUUCUCAAUUUGAGAGCUUUAUAUAUUUUAAUUAGAAAAAUAAAUUUUUUCGAACAAGAAAAUAGGAUAUUCUAAUUUAAGAAUUUAUAUUUGGAAACGACUAUUUUCUUCAUUCAAGGAUUCCUUUUUUUCUAUGUAUAAUAACUAAACUUCAAAUAUAUAUUUAUUGCUGGGUUCAAAACAUACACCUAAAUUUAGUAAUAAAUAUAUUCUUCUACAUUCUCACAACAGUUAAAUGAUCUCAACAAUAAAAUUAUUGUUUUGAGUUACUCAUCAAAGUAUGUUAAAAUAUGUAAGUGUGAAUUAAAUUGACACAGUUCUUUCCCAAAA